UUCGUGAUACCUAUUUAUAUUAAGAAGACGAAGGACGCCACACCCGCAUGUGUUCAGUGUUGUCUUCGUUCUACAAACGUACAACAGUAAAUUUUAAGUUUACAUCAAUAGAAUCCAUUUUAUUCAUACUUUAAAGACGAUUUCUGCCAAAGACGACGAACCGCGUGCUCGAACGGACGUGCUGCGUUUUCCGGUGGGCCACGUCGAAACGCGUCGGAUACGCAUCACUGCAGCAGUCCGGGUUGAACGCUGUCGUCGUGCCUAAUGCUCAUUAUUGUGUCGACGAUAGUAGUUAAAAGUCAUCUCGUGUGACAACGUAAAUAAUAACGUAUUGUCGUCAGUGGCCAAACAGUGUACCGCCUUUUGUACACGAAUAAUAAUUUACACGAAAGUCGACAGACGGUGCGCUCUAAUGUUUAGGAAAGACCCGGCUACGAACAAACACGAGAAACCGACGAGACGUUAAACAUCAUCAUACGGUUCAUAAACGUAUAACGUAACAAUUAAUAAUGUUUGACGUUGAUAAUAAUAUUAUAACAACACGACAGCUGUGCACAAAACGGCGCGUCCGUGUCCGCCGCGUCUCAACUUCCGAGCGUGUACGUGCAGCACUCGACACUGCGCGUCGUCGGCGAUUACCGUUUUCGCGGUACGUCCUAGCGCGCGAUUACGUUGUUUUAUU